UUAUCUCUCUUUCUCUCUCUUUGUCUCUCUCUCUGUCUCUCUUGCUGUCUCUUUCUUUGUCUCUCUCUCUCUCUCUCUGUCUCUCUCUCUCUCUUUAUCUCUCUCUCUCUGCUUUACUCUGGCUCUUUCUGUCCCCACCUGUCUGUCUCCCUCACAUGUGUUUUGGGUCCCAGAAGGCAAGCCUCUUUAGAGGAUGGCUUAGCCUGUAUCGAUUCAACCCAGGACAUCCAUCCUCCUGCAUGGGACAUCUGCAACGCUGCCUGACAGAAAUGUGUUAUCUGCACCUUCUCCAGCCGUGGUUCCCUGGGUCUGUUUCUGCUGAGGAAAACAAACGGUCAUUCCAGGUGGCCCUUGGGUAUUUCUAGAGCCCUUGGCCGAACACCGCCCGCAAACCAUCUCAAGCUCUACAGGACAUCAAACUUCCUGGUCCUCAUGCCUUUAGCCUCAGACCGAAUGACACCACCAGCUUUCCUGGUUCUUUGGCGUAUAGACAGCAUGUCGUGGGAAUUCUCAGCCUCCAGAACUGUAAAGCCUGCAUGUCAAGGAACUGAGGGGUGGCCUCUAGCCAAGUCAGCAAGGAACUGAACUGCCAACAAGGCCAUGAAGUCAACAGAACCUUGAGAUGGCCAGAAAGCUGCUGGCCCCUUGAUUGCAGCCCUGAGAGAGACCCUGAAGCUGGAGACCCGGCUGGGCUGUGCUCAGAUCCCUGAUUCAUGGAAAUCGCAAGAUAAUAAACGUGUGUUGUUUGAAA